CCGUGCUCCAACACCGAUUUUGCUGUAUACGGCGGUGUCUCCUCUCGGUUUGGCCAGCUUUGGUCGAUUUUGACUGAUCCGUUAUGAAAACCUGCAAACUUCGUGGUUAGACAGCCUAUGUUAGUUGAAAAAAGGAAAAAAGUGAAGCUUACCAACGGGGAGGUUUUCUACUCCGACGGUCGCUCCUCUCUCGCGCUCGGGGAUUUUCUUUGGUUAUCUUAUACCAGAAAAAAGUUAGGAAUCUAAUGGUCAAAAAAUAGAAGGAAAUGGGAAGGGAAGUCGGGCUCACCGGAAUUGUUUUAGGUCGCAGUACGGCGGCUCGGCCAAGCCCCGCUCUCAAUUUCAACUUUUCUUUUACUUUUUCAGCACCGAUAUGAGUAUGGAGAUAUUUAGAAUCGAAUUUUGAAGCGAAAUGGGUAAAAAACUCACAUCCCUGAUGUCGGCAGUGGCUUUGGUGCGACAGCGAUGGUGGCUGGCUUUUCUUCCAGCCGCCCUUCUUUUUCUU
rnacentral:lncRNA from 1 species